rnacentral:tRNA from 2 species
GCCGAGAUGGCGGAAUUGGUAGACGCACUAGUUUCAGGUACUAGCGGGUAAAACCGUGGAGGUUCGAGUCCUCUUCUCGGCACCA